rnacentral:rRNA from 1 species
CCUACGGGCGGCAGCAGUGGGGGAUAUUGCACAAUGGGGGAAACCCUGAUGCAGCGACGCCGCGUGGGCGAAGAAGUUUUUCGGUAUGUAAAGCUCUAUCAGCAGGGAAGAAAAUGACGGUACCUGAGUAAGAAGCCCCGGCUAACUACGUGCCAGCAGCCGCGGUAAUACGUAGGGGGCAAGCGUUAUCCGGAUUUACUGGGUGUAAAGGGAGCGUAGACGGCAGUGCAAGUCUGGAGUGAAAGGCGGGGGCUCAACCCCCGGAGUGCUCUGGAAACUGUCCGGCUGGAGUGGGGGAGAGGUAAGUGGAAUGCCUGGUGUAGCGGUGAAAUGCGUAGAUAUUGGGAGGAACACCAAUGGCGAAGGCGGCGUACUGGACUGUAACUGACGUUGAGGCUCGAAAGCGUGGGGAGCGAACAGGAUUAGAUACCCGGGUAGUC